rnacentral:rRNA from 1 species
AACGAACGCUGGCGGCAUGCCUAACACAUGCAAGUCGAACGAGACCUUCGGGUCUUGUGGCGCACGGGUUCGUUACGCGACGGAACAUUCACUUGUGUUUGGCCUAACUUCCAGCAAGGGGUGCUUAUUCCGGAUGAUAUCUUCGGCCCAAAGAUUUAUCGCCUUUGGUUGGGCCUGUGUUGGAUUAGCUAGUUGGUAGGGUAAAAGCCUACCAAGGCGACGUUCCAUAGCUGGUCUGAGAGGAUGACCAGCCACACUGGGACUGUGACACGGCCCAGACUCCUACGGGAGGCAGCAGUGGGGAAUAUUGGACAAUGGGCGAAAGCCUGAGCCAGCAAUGCCGCGUAGGUGAUGAAGGCCUUAAGGUUGUAAAGCUCUGUUAACCGGGAUGAUAAUGACGGUACCGGAAGAAUAAGCGCCGGCUAACUACGUG